rnacentral:lncRNA from 1 species
AUCCAGAGAGUUUGCAGUAAUGACAGAAAGAGAAUUUGAUGCCUUUUGAUUUUCUUACAAUUCUUCUAAUCAGGAGAAGCAAAUACGUUUCGAUGUGCCCAUUAGUUAAAGAGGAGCUGUAGCUGCAAGCAGCACGUCUCUGAGAACUUGGCACUUAGUGGUAUCAGCAAGGCAAAGCCCUUGGGACCAUGUGGCUUACACCUGCAGCCGUCACACUCUAUCCUCAACUUUUAGGAAAAGGAGUUUGAAGGGCAUUUCAGCACCUAGCCCUGCCUGUGGGCCCUGUGGACCACGACACAGCCUCUAA